GAUGAACGCUAGCUACAGGCUUAACACAUGCAAGUCGAGGGGAAACGAUAUUGGAAGCUUGCUUCCGAUAGGCGUCGACCGGCGCACGGGUGAGUAACGCGUAUCCAACCUGCCCACCACUUGGGGAUAACCUUGUGAAAGUAAGGCUAAUACCCAAUGAUAUCUCAAGAAGACAUCUGAAAGGGAUUAAAGAUUUAUCGGUGAUGGAUGGGGAUGCGUCUGAUUAGCUUGUUGGCGGGGUAACGGCCCACCAAGGCGACGAUCAGUAGGGGUUCUGAGAGGAAGGUCCCCCACAUUGGGACUGAGACACGGUCCAAACUCCUACGGGAGGCAGCAGUGAGGAAUAUUGGUCAAUGGGCGAGAGCCUGAACCAGCCAAGUAGCGUGCAGGAUGACGGCCCUAUGGGUUGUAAACUGCUUUUAUAAGGGAAUGAAGUGAGCCUCGUGAGGCUUUUUGCAUGUACCUUAUGAAUAAGGACCGGCUAAUUCCGUGCCAGCCGCCGCGGUAA
rnacentral:rRNA from 1 species